UACGUAGGGUGCAAGCGUUAAUCGGAAUUACUGGGCGUAAAGCGUGCGCAGGCGGCUUUGCAAGACAGAUGUGAAAUCCCCGGGCUUAACCUGGGAACUGCAUUUGUGACUGCAAGGCUGGAGUACGGUAGAGGGGGAUGGAAUUCCGCGUGUAGCAGUGAAAUGCGUAGAUAUGCGGAGGAACACCGAUGGCGAAGGCAAUCCCCUGGACCUGUACUGACGCUCAUGCACGAAAGCGUGGGGAGCAAACAGG
rnacentral:rRNA from 1 species